UACGUAGGGCGCAAGCGUUGUCCGGAAUUAUUGGGCGUAAAGAGCUCGUAGGUGGCGUGUCGCGUCUGCCGUGAAAGCCCAUGGCUUAACUGUGGGUCUGCGGUGGAUACGGGCAGGCUAGAGGCUGGUAGGGGCAAGCGGAAUUCCUGGUGUAGCGGUGAAAUGCGCGGAUAUCGGAAGGAACGCCGGUGGCGAAAGCGGCGUGCUGGACCCUUUCUGACGCUGAGGCGCGAAAGCCAGGGGAGCAAACGGG
rnacentral:rRNA from 1 species